rnacentral:rRNA from 1 species
UACGGGGGGGGGCAAGCGUUGUUCGGAAUUACUGGGCGUAAAGGGCUCGUAGGCGGCCAACUAAGUCGGACGUGAAAUCCCCAGGCUCAACCUGGGAACUGCGUCUGAUACUGGAUGGCUUGAAUCCGGGAGAGGGAUGCAGAAUUCCAGGUGUAGCGGUGAAAUGCGUAGAGAUCAGGAAGAACAUCGGUGGCGAAGGCGCUCUGCUGGACCAUAACUGACACUCAGGGACGAAAGCUAGGGGAGCGAAUGGG